GAUGAACGCUGGCGGCGUGCCUAAUACAUGCAAGUCGAGCGAACAGAUGAGAAGCUUGCUUCUCUGAUGUUAGCGGCGGACGGGUGAGUAACACGUGGGUAACCUACCUAUAAGACUGGGAUAACUCCGGGAAACCGGGGCUAAUACCGGAUAAUAUUUUGAACCGCAUGGUUCAAUAGUGAAAGACGGUUUCGGCUGUCACUUAUAGAUGGACCCGCGCCGUAUUGGCUAGUUGGUAAGGUAACGGCUUACCAAGGCGACGAUACGUAGCCGAGCAGGGAGGGUGAUCGGCCACACUGGAACUGAGACACGGUCCAGACUCCUACGGGAGGCAGCAGUAGGGAAUCUUCCGCAAUGGGCGAAAGCCUGACGGAGCAACGCCGCGUGAGUGAUGAAGGUCUUCGGAUCGUAAAACUCUGUUGUUAGGGAAGAACAAAUUUGUUAGUAACUGAACAAGUCUUGACGGUACCUAACCAGAAAGCCACGGCUAACUACGUGCCAGCCGCCGCCGUAA
rnacentral:rRNA from 1 species